rnacentral:rRNA from 1 species
AACGAACGCUGGCGGCAUGCCUAACACAUGCAAGUCGAACGAGACCUUCGGGUCUAGUGGCGCACGGGUGCGUAACGCGUGGGAAUCUGCCCUUCGGUUGGGAAUAACUGAGAGAAAUUUCAGCUAAUACCUUAUAAUGUCUUCGGACCAAAGAUUUAUCGCCGAGGGAUGAGCCCGCGUAGGAUUAGGUAGUUGGUGGGGUAAUGGCCUACCAAGCCGACGAUCCUUAGCUGGUCUGAGAGGAUGAUCAGCCACACUGGGACUGAGACACGGCCCAGACUCCUACGGGAGGCAGCAGUGGGGAAUAUUGGACAAUGGGCGAAAGCCUGAUCCAGCAAUGCCGCGUGAGUGAUGAGGGCCUUAGGGUUGUAAAGCUCUUUUACCCGGGAUGAUAAUGACAGUACCGGGAGAAUAAGCUCCGGCUAACUCCGUG